UCUUGGAGUUCUAGCUCACCUUUCUGGUGUUGUUCUUGUACUCAUCUGUUUAAUCUAGUUCUGCCACUUCUUCUUGAACUUCUUGUUAGAUUUCAAGUCUGUAUUUUGUGUCCGUGACACCAAAUGUCCAAAUGACCUCAAUCAAUUCUAUUUAUAUUUUAUUCAACUAUCUUUAGAACUUUCUAGAAUGUCUUUAAUGAUAGUUC
rnacentral:lncRNA from 1 species